rnacentral:rRNA from 1 species
UGGCGCGGUGAAUACGUUCCCGGGCCUUGUACACACCGCCCGUCACACCAUGGGAGUCGGAAAUGCCCGAAGUCUGUGACCCAACCUUAGGGAGGGAGCAGCCGAAGGCAGGUCGGAUGACUGGGGUGAAGUCGUAACAAGGUAAC